rnacentral:tRNA from 1 species
GAGGGUAUAGCUCAAGUGGUAGAGUGCAUGCUUAGCACGCAUGAGUUUCUGGGUUCAAUCCCCGGUACUUCCU